UACGUAGGUGGCAAGCGUUGUCCGGAAUCACUGGGCGUAAAGCGCGCGCAGGCGGCGAUCUACGUCUGGGGUGAAAGCCCGGAGCUCAACUCCGGGACUGCCUUGGAUACGGGAUCGCUUGAGGAUUGGAGAGGCAAGGGGAAUUCCACGUGUAGCGGUGAAAUGCGUAGAGAUGUGGAGGAACACCUGUGGCGAAGGCGCCUUGCUGGCCAAUUACUGACGCUGAGGCGCGAGAGCGUGGGGAGCAAACAGG
rnacentral:rRNA from 1 species